AUUAUCUUAGAUUGAGCCCUAUAUGAAAACACCUCUAGAUGAGAAGACACAUUUAAAAUUUUAAACAGCAUCAGGAUCAGAGCUGAAGUGAUGGCAAGCUGGAAACAGGCUGUAAUGAGCUGAAAAGAAGGAGCAUGAAGUAUUUUAUCUAUUCGGACAGCUAUUGACCUCUCUCCUGCAAUGGUUCAGCUUUCACUGUUGAUGAAGUACACCUGUGGGCUCCAUGCUUGCAGCUGCCUGAGAUAGUCAUCCAAAUAUGCCACCCUGCCUCUACCAGCCUGCCAACAGAAGCAGUGUGUUCAUGCUGGGCUUUUCAGCUGUGUGGCAGUGCCACAUAGACCUUCUGUGACUCAGCCAAAGACGAAGUUCAUGUACAAGAAGUACAUCUCAGGUCUGGGUUUUCUUGUUUGGCUUUUUAUUCAUAGCUACAUAGCACCAAAAUGUUUCUUCUAAGUGUUCUUGCUGAAAGCUGUUCAAACGUGUAUUGUCUGGAAGAAGACUGACAAAAUUAUAACUUAGAGCUGUCAAGCUUUACCACCAUUAC
rnacentral:lncRNA from 1 species